UAACGGCUGAACCAGCAACUUGGAGGAACGAAUAGCAAUGGCUAAUUGCACAUACAUAUGAUGCAAUAUCGACUCAGUCGAAUAAAAUUCUGGCUAGUAUUAUGAUAAUGACAUUGUCUGGCUAUGUGUCUUGACUAAAUUACGUGCCAGCAGUCGCGGUAAUACGUAGAAGACUAGUGUUAUUCAUCUUUAAUAGGUUUAAAGGGUACCCAGACGGUAUAUCAAGCCCUAGACGGGACUAAUUUGCUAGAGUUAUUUAUGCGGGGGCUAUCAAGUACUAAUGGUGUAGAGAUAAAAUUUCGUAAUACCAUUUUUCGAAAGAAAAGUUAUGGCACUGAUAAAGGCGAAAGCAUCCCCUUAUGUGAUAACUGACGUUG
rnacentral:rRNA from 1 species